UACGGAGGGGGCAAGCGUUGCUCGGAAUCACUGGGCGUAAAGGGCUCGUAGGCGGGGUGGCAAGUCGGGUGUGAAAUCCCUCGGCCCAACCGAGGAACUGCGCCCGAGACUGCUUCUCUUGAGUCCCGGAGAGGAAGAUGGAAUUCCCGGUGUAGCGGUGAAAUGUGUAGAGAUCGGGAGGAACACCGGUGGCGAAGGCGGUCUUCUGGACGGUGACUGACGCUGAGGCGCGAAAGCGUGGGGAGCAAACGGG
rnacentral:rRNA from 1 species